rnacentral:rRNA from 1 species
UACGUAGGCAGCGAGCGUUGUUCGGAAUUACUGGGCGUAAAGAGUGUGUAGGCGGUGCUCUAAGUUCGGUGUGAAAUCUCCUGGCUCAACUGGGAGGGUGCGCCGGAAACUGGAGUGCUUGAGCGUGGGAGAGGAAAGCGGAAUUCCUGGCGUAGCGGUGAAAUGCGCAGAUAUCAGGAGGAACACCGGUGGCGAAGGCGGGUCUCUGGGCCGAUACUGACGCUGAGGAGCGAAAGCGUGGGGAGCGAACAGG